rnacentral:rRNA from 1 species
UCCUACGGGAGGCAGCAGUGAGGAAUUUUGCGCAAUGGGGGAAACCCUGACGCAGCAACGCCGCGUGAGUGAUGAAGGCCUUCGGGUCGUAAAGCUCUGUCAAGUGGGAAGAAAAUAUUGCAUGCCAAUACCAUGCAAUACUGACGGUACCACUGAAGGAAGCACCGGCUAACUCCGUGCCAGCAGCCGCGGUAAU